CCAGCACCCGCGGUAAUUCCAGCUCCAAUAGCGUAUAUUAAAUUUGUUGCAGUUAAAAAGCUCGUAGUCGAAUUACUGGGAUGUUCACUGGCUCGGUCUGCCGGAAGGUGUGUACUGGCUGGUGAUGCCCAUACUGCUAUGUGGCAUGGGCUGUCCUUAACUGGAUGGCUUAUCGCCGCAUGGCCUUUUACUUUGAAAAAAUCCGAGUGUUCAACGCAGGCGUAUUGCCUGAAGGGAUUAGCAUGGGAUAAUGGAAUAGGGCACUUGCUCUAGUUUCGUUGGUUUACUGGGUAAUGCAAUGAUUAAUAGGAAUUGUUGGGGGUAUUCAUAUUUAGUUGUCAGAGGUGAAA
rnacentral:rRNA from 1 species